AUUGAACGCUGGCGGCAUGCCUUACACAUGCAAGUCGAACGGCAGCACGGGAGCAAUCCUGGUGGCGAGUGGCGAACGGGUGAGUAAUAUAUCGGAACGUGCCCGGUCGUGGGGAUAACGUAGCGAAAGCUACGCUAAUACCGCAUACGAUCUACGGAUGAAAGCGGGGGAUCGCAAGACCUCGCGCGAUUGGAGCGGCCGAUAUCAGAUUAGGUAGUUGGUGAGGUAAAGGCUCACCAAGCCGACGAUCUGUAGCUGGUCUGAGAGGACGACCAGCCACACUGGGACUGAGACACGGCCCAGACUCCUACGGGAGGCAGCAGUGGGGAAUUUUGGACAAUGGGCGCAAGCCUGAUCCAGCAAUGCCGCGUGCAGGAUGAAGGCCUGGUUGUAACGCUUUGUACGGUAACG
rnacentral:rRNA from 1 species